AAAAUGCCCUUAAGGUGUGUUACUAUUAUGAUUCACCUGGAAGUGUUUUAAAAGAACGCAACAAAAUAUGUUUUCCUCAACAAACGAGUGAGUGGAAGAGGUCAAUAGGCAGCCUUCAAUAAAUAUAUUUCUAUUGCUUUGUUAAUCACAACUGUACAUACUUUGACAAAAACACACAGAAGUGCCAGGUGCUUUUUUGUUGUUGAUGUUGCUGUCAUUUUUGUUUCUGUCUACUUUUUGGGAUCUUUUUCCUCCUUUAUAUUGUUUAGAGGUCAAAAAAACCUUCAAAAUGCUCAGGGAAGAGACAACCCCUCCAAAAAGCAGAAAACAGGCCUCAAAACCUCUGUGAACAUCAAAAAGAAGAAUAAAAGUAGAAAGUGUGGGCAAAGUGGAGAAAGAGAGUCUGAUCUAAAAGAACACGAUAAGCAUUUGCCCAAAGGUUGCAAAUGGAGUUUUCAAGUGUCUGACUUGCAACAUUUGAGCAGCACCGAGCGCAUAACAGUUCUCCAAGCAAAAAUGCAGGAAAUCCGGAAACGUUACCUGCUGUUGAAAGCUGAGUUGGCUGCCAUUGACCGGACAAAGCGCUUAAAGAAAAAGAAGGAGCAGGAGAGGGCUGCUGCCAUGUCAAGUUCUUCACCAAAUGGAAUGCCAGGGGAAUGCAGGUGACAGCACGACUUGCCAAAUCACUUUGCACUUAAUGGCUGUUGAGGACCACUCUUUUUCAUCAGUAUUGAAAACAAAAUAUGAGUAUCCAUUAAAAGAAGCCCACAAAAUCAACCAACCAACCAACCAACCAAAGACUGAGUAAUGUUUACAGGUUUGAAUUAGAUUUAAAAAGGUUACUCUGGGUUUUGAGAACCCAUUAAUUAGAAUAAAACUACAGUACUUUGCAAAUUUUCUAUAAAGCAUGUAUUUUAAAAUUUUGAUUAAAUACAUUACAAAAAAAGAAAAUAGCUAAGAAAUUGUAUUAAGUAUUGAUGUAUGAAGAUAGUGUUCAAUCUACUUGAAGUAUUUCUUUAUAAUGGAUUAAACAGGUAUAUUUUUGUGUUUUCUAGUAACUGUUUUCCUGUUAAAGCAACAAAUAUUUCAUUCAUAAUGCUUAUUUUGAGCUUGUAGAAGAAGGCUUCAAGAGAAUGUGAGCUUAUAAAAGCUUACAGAAAAAAAACAUGAAAUAUAUAUUAGGUUUUGCAGAAAAUGGAGUUAUGCAAUAUAUUGUACAAAUGUAAGCAAGAACCUCUGAAAUAAAAUGGCAUCGUUUUUGAAUCCCUGAUUUUGUUUCUAGUAGUUUAAUUAACCAACAAUACUGUCUUCAUGAAAAUGACAUCAAGCUGCAGAAUCUGUUGAUAAAUUCAUAAUGAUAAUCCAUUCUCUCUUACAGCAGAAAGCAAAAGUGUGGCCCAGCAUUAAUGCAGCACCAGUCAAAACAAAGCUGAAUUUUGAUUCCUGCUCAUUAUGAUAGUUUGAAAAUGUCAUAGCAAGCUCCUGAAAGUAUCUGCUGACUCCUUGUAUAAACUGCCUGGAGGUCAGAUUCAUUGGAAUUGAAACUGGAAUAAAUCUUCUAG
rnacentral:lncRNA from 12 species